rnacentral:rRNA from 1 species
UACAGGGGGUGCAACCGUUGCUCGGAAUUAUUGGGCGUAAAGCGCACGUAGGCGGUUUGUUAUGUCGGAUGUGAAAGCCCUUGGCUCAACUGAGGAAGUGCAUCCGAAACUGGCAAGCUAGAGUAUGUAAGAGGGUCGCGGAAUUCCCGGUGUAGAGGUGAAAUUCGUAGAUAUCGGGAGGAACACCGUUGGCGAAGGCGGCGACCUGGGACAAUACUGACGCUGAGGUGCGAAAGCGUGGGGAGCAAACAGG